rnacentral:rRNA from 1 species
GAUGAACGCUGACAGAAUGCUUAACACAUGCAAGUCAACUUGAAUUUGGGUUUUUAACUUAGGUUUGGGUGGCGGACGGGUGAGUAACGCGUAAAGAACUUGCCUCACAGCUAGGGACAACAUUUGGAAACGAAUGCUAAUACCUAAUAUUAUGAUAAUAGGGCAUCCUAUAAUUAUGAAAGCUAUAAGCGCUGUGAGAGAGCUUUGCGUCCCAUUAGCUAGUUGGAGAGGUAACGGCUCACCAAGGCGAUGAUGGGUAGCCGGCCUGAGAGGGUGAUCGGCCACAAGGGAACUGAGACACGGCCCUUACUCCUACGGGAGGCAGCAGUGGGGAAUAUUGGACAAUGGACCGAGAGUCUGAUCCAGCAAUUCUGUGUGCACGAUGAAGUUUUUCGGAAUGUAAAGUGCUUUCAGUUGGGAAGAAACAAAUGACGGUACCAACAGAAGAAGUGACGGCUAAAUACGUG